CUAUAUAUAUAUAUAUAUAUCUGUGAACUCACUGCCGCCUUCUCCACCUCCGGCCCUUGUUGCUGCCAUUGCCUCCGUUCGUUGCCGCUGCCUCCGCCUCCUUUCAUCGCCCCUGCCACAGCCUACGUUCGUCGCUGCUACGUCUGCCCCUGGCUUCGCCGCUGCCACAACCUCCAUUCUCUGUCGCCGCUGCCUCUGCCUCCUUUCGUCGCCCCUGCCACCACCUUCGCCCGUCGUAGCUGCCUCCGCCUCCUGUCGUCUUCGCUGCCACUGCCUCCGUUCUCCGUCGCCGCCUCUGCCUCCGGUUUUGUCCCAAGGCAGAGCUGCAGUUAGUUUCUAGCUUUGCUUCCCGGUCUCUAGCCUAACAUUUUAUAUGAAGCAUGGGUGAUUUAGAAUUUCUUAUCAUUGUGCUUGGCUUGGGUGGGUGGCCCAAGACCCAUUGUAUUAAGUUUAAGCGGGUGGAUUCUGAAGCCAAACUGGUGUUUGAUGACGUGUUGCUUUCCUCCCAUUCCAUUGGAUGGGCGGUUUAUUCAGAGAUGCAAGCAAGGAUGUUUGCAGUUUGUAAUACUCAAGCCCAUUUUAGUAGCAGUCACGUUAAUACUUUAUGCCAAAGGGAAAUAUCAAUGUGGAAAUUUCCGUCCAGACCAGUCAUAUCUUUAUCUGACUAUCAUCUAUACCAUAUCAUAUUCAUUGGCCCUCUAUGCACUAGCCUUAUUUUAUGUAGCUUGCAGAGAUUUGCUUCAGCCAUUCAAUCCAGUUCCAAAGUUCAUAAUAAUCAAGUUCGUUGCUUUCCAGACCUAUUGGCAGUAAGGGAAGGCUGUAGUCAACGGCAAGUCCAAUGGAGCUAGAAGCUAGAGACCAUGGAUAGAAUGUGUACAGAGACAUCCUAGCUAAAAGAUCUUUGGGGAGUUGUUUUGAGGAAAUGUGAAAAGAGUUUAUUUUGUAGUUAAAAUUUCAUUGUCCUUUU